rnacentral:rRNA from 1 species
CUCGGGAGGCAGCAGUGGGGAAUUUUCCGCAAUGGGCGAAAGCCUGACGGAGCAACGCCGCGUGAGGGAUGAAGGCCUCUGGGCUGUAAACCUCUUUUAUCAAGGAAGAAGAUCUGACGGUACUUGAUGAAUAAGCCACGGCUAAUUCCGUGCCAGCAGCCGCGGUAAUACGGGAGUGGCAAGCGUUAUCCGGAAUUAUUGGGCGUAAAGCGUCCGCAGGCGGUCUGUCAAGUCUGCUGUUAAAGCGUGGAGCUUAACUCCAUUUCGGCAGUGGAAACUGACAGACUAGAGUGUGGUAGGGGCAGAGGGAAUUCCCGGUGUAGCGGUGAAAUGCGUAGAUAUCGGGAAGAACACCAGUGGCGAAGGCGCUCUGCUGGGCCAUAACUGACGCUCAUGGACGAAAGCCAGGGGAGCGAAAGGGAUUAGAUACCCCUGUAGUCCUGGCCGUAAACGAUGAACACUAGGUGUCG